rnacentral:rRNA from 1 species
GGCUGCAACUCGCCUACAUGAAGCCGGAAUCGCUAGUAAUCGCGGAUCAGCAUGCCGCGGUGAAUACGUUCCCGGGCCUUGUACACACCGCCCGUCACACCACGAGAGUUUGUAACACCCGAAGUCGGUGGGGUAACCGUAAGGAGCCAGCCGCCUAAGGUGGGACAGAUGAUUGGGGUGAAGUCGUAACAAGGUAGCCGUAUCGGAAGGUGCGGCUGGAUCACCUCCUUUCUAAGGAA